rnacentral:lncRNA from 1 species
AAAGAGGCAAUUGCAUUUGUAGUCAUCUAUUUGACGAAUCCCAACUGAAGUUCAAAACAGCAGAAAAAAGGACAAAGAGGGCAAAGAGAGGGAGAGGUGCAACCCUCCAAAUAAGCAGACUUUGCCCAGAGGUAUAUAGGCAGGAUGUUCUAAACGGGAAUUUUAAGUAUCAGAUACUGACAUAUUUGUAAAGUCCUUUUCCCCUUGUCUACAAAAAUGACAUCCACAUUGCCACAGCCUUUUCUCAAGUGACAAGUACAAACCAGCACAGGUGUUAGUGAAAGAAGGGCCCACCAAAAAAUGGGGAAAAGUUAAAAAUAUAUGCAUAGAGAUAAAAGAUAACAGUUUGGCAAGGAUGACAGCUUGUUUGCAGCCGAGGCCCCAUUGUCACAUCAUAUAUCCUUCUACAAGCUUGCUCUCAUGCUCCAGCUGUGCCCCUCUACCACUGUUUCAUUUGACCAAAGAAAACCCAAGUGCCUAUGUUUGGCUUUCAAGUACCUGCUUGAUCUGAUCCUCUACUUACUUUUCUAGCCUUCUCUCACGUGGACUCUGGAACUGGACUGCUGGUGCUGAAUCUGGCCUCUGCCACUUAGACCUUGGGUAGUUCCUAAAUCCACAUUCCAACCUUCUUUAUUGGGCUCUAAUUUACAUAGGUUGCAACUUACACAUCCAGCUGCCUGAUGCCGAAGCUCUAAGGAUGUGGCCCCUUCUUCCUUGCCCUUGCAGAAGCAUUAAAAAUAUCCAAACCACAAGAAGCCUGAGAAACCUAGCUAACCCCACCCACUUGCCAUACACAAGCCCCCUUUUAACAGUUCCAGCUGCUGUUACCCUUUUCCUGGGGGUAGCACCCUGUGUGACUCUGUGCAGCAGCCUUCUCUCAUAAGGAGCUAUAAGGAAUAAAGUGUCUGCCUUUCACCUGUCCAGGGGUCCUUGUGUUCUGCCC